AGUAUGAACAUGCAGAUGAUUUUCGGUUUGCUCUGUUUUCUCUUCAUCACCCUCGUGGCUCUCUUGGGUUUUGUGAAGGUGAGAUUUGGUGUAAUGAGAUGUAGCAAACACAUCCACCGUGCCAAUGGCAGCCGUCACAGCCAUCAGCAGGGAUUUAAAUUGUGGUUGCGGCAGCGUUUUCGGUUGUGUUGUGUUUAUCGCGGCUGCGAGCAUAACGGAUGUUAUUGCGGUCACUGUGAAUAUCGUGGUCGUGAAUUUUUUUUUAAAAUUCGCACGACUUAUUGUAAAACUUAAUAAUUAUAAUUAUAAAAAGUCACUUUUAAUGAUUUUUAGAGUGUUUUCUAACACUUAUGAACUUUUAUUAAUAUGAGAGCACAAUUUUUACAAUCAUUGAUUAUUCUCAUAUUUAUUUACGAAUUUUCUAAGAAUAUUAUAUUAACUAAUAACAAAGUAAAAAGAUAAGAAAUAUUAAACAUUCUCAUAUUUAAUAAGUUUGAAAGUUUUUGUAGAUAAAAUAAUUGAAAAUUCAUACAUGAGAGAGGUCUUCAAUAUUUCUUGACAGCUUUGAAGAUGGUGAAUAUAUCAAAACAUCCUAUGCUACAAAAGGAAAAAAAGAAUAGAUAAAUGUAUAGAUUCUCAUUAAUUAUUCCUAUUUCUUACCACUUAUUCUCGCUCUCAUUCUACUUUCAUAUAUAGUUUAACAUACUUCAAUUUUUAAUUAUCUUUUCAUAAAAUAUACUCCGUUCAUUUAUCUAAAGAUAUAUUUUAAACGUUUUAAUAUCAUUAAAAUUAAAAACAUUAACAAAAGUUUUCUUUAAAAAAAACAUAUCUUACAAAUAGUGAUAGUGGUUCGAUGUAGUUUUCACCAAUUAGUGGAAUGAGGAGGAGGAUCAAAUCCUUCACCUUCACUUUGAGAGCGUUCUUGACUUGAUUCUCUUGGCCUUUGUCUAAAAAAAUAUAUAAAAAAGUAACAUUUUCACAUUGAUUUUCAUAUAAUUGAUAUGGAGGAUAUAUUUAAGGAGAAGGAUACAUGAGAGGUGGAGGUGGGUGAUAUAUUAGUGGUGGAGGAUGCAUUUGAGCUGAUAUGACACACCAUAAUUAGGAAAUGGUGGAUAAUAACCAUAUGGUUGUGGAUAACCAUGUGAAGGUUGGAAAUAUAAAGGUUGUUCUGGCGGAUAAAAACUUUGAGUGCUAGUAGAUGAAUCACUAUACCUAAGGUUACUAGAACUCGAUCUUCUACCAGAUGAAAAGCCUAUAGAAGUAUGCUUUUUGCCUUUUUCUUUUGAUGGAGCUCUAGGUUCACUUCUAUCUCUCCUAGGUUUAGGAAACAUAUUCCAUCAAAUUCUGAUCUAUCACGGAAAUGUCCACUAGUGGUACCAACCCCAUAUUCUCCUCCAUACCGACUAGAAGACUUAAUUUCACCUUUAUCACCACUAUGUCCAUCAUCGUCAUCAAUUGGACUUAAACCAUUACCAUCCGGUCCAUCGCUACUCUGACUUGGCAUUGCAUUAGAACUUGAAUGAGACAAAUUUUGUUGUUGAUAUUGAUCAACAUUCAUUUCAUCAUCGGAGGUAUCCAUAGGCAACACACCGACAUUUUCACCAUCUAACAAAUAUUCUCUUUCUCUUGAAGUCAUUCUAAUGGUGGAUCAACAUCUUCAAAGAUAAGAUCAAGGCUGAUAGGAUUAAAACUAGCGUUGAUAUCAUCAAUGCUCAUUCUUUUUUGAUGCCUUAUCUGAAGCCUCAUAUUAUAGUAGGUAAACACUAGUUUCUCAAGUUUUUUAUACUUCAACCUAUUUCUUGCCUUGGUGUGAAUAUAACUAAAUGUGCUCCAAUUUCGUUCCCAAUUUGAUGUAGAAGUUGUUUGACUAAGCACUUUAAUUGCUAAUUUUUGUAACUUAGGAACACAUGUGCCGUAUAUUAUCCACCACUCAGCUGCAUAAUAUUAUUUAAAUUUCAAAAUAACUUCAAAAUGUACAAUAUGAUUAAAUAAUAUAAAUUAAAUUAAAUAAUUUAAUUAACUACUUACCCAAAUUCAUUUGCUUCUAAGCUCUUUGUGCUUGUGGAGUACCGAAUUUUUCAUGUUUAUCUCUAAAUUGUAACAACUGCAUAAAUAAAAGAUAGAGUAAAAAUGAAAAAAAAUAAUUCCAUUUCAAAUUAUGUAACUAAGUUACAAAUACUAGUACUUGAAUCUAACCUGAUUAACCAUUUUGACUUGAGUAUCAAAAGAAGGUUCUAAUAUUUCAAUUACUGAUCUUGUACCUUCUAAUGUUUCUAUUAGUACAUUCUCAGAAUGUUCCACCCCAAAUUGAAAUUGAAGAUUGAAAAAAUAACCAAAGUAUAAUUUAUAAGAAUAUCAUCAAAUAAUAAUAAUCUAAAGCUUAAAAUAAUAAAAUAUAAAAAUAGUUCUUAAUUAUCUGAAACAUUUUAUCUUACUAGCUAAAUGCAAGUCGGAAUGCAUAAAAUUCCAUCUUUUGUCAAUAAUCUUUUCGUACUCGGUGAAAUAUUGACAAUCUUGUUGAAUUGCUUGUUUAACUCUAUCAACAGCCUCAUAAAUAAAACCUAUUGUUGGUUUUUUAUCACCAUCCACAAGUCUCAAUACUUUUACUAGGAGCUCGCAAACUUUUAUAAGGUCAUUGGCUUUUUUUCAAAAAAAAUUUCCCAAAACAACUUUUUUGACUUCAUAAGCAGGCCCUGACUUUUGCUAUCCCCAUUUUGAUUCUUUAAAUUCCUAUAUAUUCAUAAGAAAAUUUUUAAAAUAAUAUAAUUUAAAUUAUUUGGAACUAAUAAAAUCAUUAAAGGUUGCUAUAUUUAAGUGAUUAUAUUAACUAAUUAUAAAAUACUGAUAUUUGAAUUAAACAUUUCUCUCAGACCUUGCUUUUGCAUUGUUAUCUUUUCAAGUUGAAUGAAAUGAGUUGCAAAUCGAGUAAGAGCAGGUCGAAGUAUUUGCUUCCCUUGUGUAUAUUUCUUUAUCAAAUCAACGGUCCAAAUGUGAUUGUAUAUAAAGCAAGUCACUUUCUUUGCCUCAUCUAACACUUUUGCUACACUAGGCUUUUUCCCAAUAUUUUUAAUGCAUAAAUCUAAACAGUGAGCCACACAUGAGGUCCAUAUAGAUGCUUUCUUUUCAACAUUAAUUUUUUUCAACGACUUUCAUUGCUGCCUCAUUAUUAGUCACUAUUUGGACAAUGCAACUUUCUCCAAUUUCUUCUACAACUGAAUCUAACAAAUUGUAGUAGAAUUCAACAUCUCUACUACGAACACUCGAGACACCCAUCGAUUUUCAAAAAAUGGUUCAUUUACUACAAUAAACAAGGAAAUUAAUUAUGUGCAUUUGAUUCAAAUUGUUGGUCCAACCAUCACACAUUAGAGUUGCAACCAAUUCUUUCCAAUGAGUCUUUAGUCCAUUUACCCAAUCAUGAACUCGUUGAUGCUCUGACUUCAAAUACACAUCUGAAACCUUAUAAGGUGUUGGGAGCUUUACACCUUGUCUAACUUCUAUUGACACUUGAAUUAAGUUAUACAACCUUGGAGAGCUUGCUAAUUGAAAAAGAAGUCGUUCAUAUAUUAAAAAUUUAGAUACCGCUUCACCUAUCUUCCUCCGUAAAGUCUUUAAAAAAGAGUCACUGAUCUUUAGUUGCUUUGAGCUUUUGCUUCUAGCCAAUUCAUGUAUAGCUCCCCUUAAGGUAAACUUAGACUCACUUGGGAUGAAUUUACUUGUUCUUUCUCCAUGAUAUUCUCCAGCUGAUCCAUGAGAAGAUCGCCGUUCUUCAUAAAUGUUACUCCAACCACUAGUACUUCUUUUGAAUUCUUCCCUUCUAUGCCACCCAUGUUGUGAUUGAAUACAUUCUCAAGUUGCUUGCCUUAUAGCAGAAACCCUAUCAAUGAAUUCCUCGUGUUCAUCCUCCUCUACUAUUAAUUGAGAUAAGAAUUCAUCUGUUAUCCUCUUUUUGUCUAUUUUCUUUAUGUUGCUUUCUUUCAAUAUAUUCAUCAUACUUUCUCUAAUGACACCUGUUAAUAUAAUUCACACUUUAUAUUAUUAUGAAUUAUGUAUAAUCUUUAUUGAUAAAUUUACAAUAACAUUUAAAAAUAAUAAUAAAAUAUCACAUAUCAGUAACAUUAGGGCAUGAUACAACAUUGUCGGUUUUAUAAGCAAUGUGCUCUUUAAAUCAUGUUAUUCCUCCUUUCACAACUUUACCACAAAGUUUACAUACGACAUUUCCUUUUGUAUUUGGCACUAGAGUUCCAAAGUGCCAACCUGUAUCAUUAUUUGGUGCACCCUUCAAUCCUUUAGUUGAGAACUCUUCACGUGGUGACAUGUUUUAUUUUUAUUUAUAUACAAGAAACAUAAAAUUAUAUUUAGAAAUAUAAGCAAUUCAUUACUUAUAUUAUCAAUAAUAUAAUACAAAAAAAGUAAACAUCACUAACAUUGAAAAUUUAAAUUUAUUGCAUAAUACAUACUUUUUUUAAAAAAAACAACACACCAUAACCCAUUAUUACCUGGUCACCGAAAACCCAAAAAUUAAAAAUUAAAAAUUAAAAUAAAAAGUUCCCCAAAUCCCGUCAAGCCCCAACCCCUUUCCUUUUUUUUUUUAAAUAUAGCUGAAACUUUUUAUUAGAGAAAAGAAACCUUAAAAACAAUUACAAAGCAAUACAAUCUAGCCUAAGCUAACCUACCAGCUAACAACUAAUCUCACCAACUAACUCUAACUAACUGCUCCAUAGCAGACUAAGCUACUGUAUAAACCGUAAUAUUUGUGAUUAGGGCAAAAGAAAUUGCUAUGUGCGUUUUAUAGGUUUUUUAAAUGCAAAGCUUCAGUGUUAAUAGUCGUUAUAAUUUUUUGCUAAAAAUAGUUUAGGGUUAGAUAAAUUGCAUUCUUUUAAUAACAUUCUUAAUAUAAUUAUUUUUAUAUUAAAAGAUUUUAUUUUAAAUUAUAUUUUGAAAUAAAAUAUUUUAUAUUGAGUUAAUUUAAUAUUAAAUUAUAUUCAAAUAUUUUAUUUUUAUAUUUUUUGAAUCCAAAUUUUAAAAGACUAAUCUGAAAACCAAUUUUGUUUUGUUAUUUAAGGUUGGAUACCAAAGAAUAACUAUUACGGGAAGUCAAGAAAUAGAGAAGUAAUGAACAUUCUAUUAAAUGAGUAUUACGUUCAAUAAAAUAAAUGAAUAAUUCGCUACAGGAAAUUAAGGUUUUAGCGGCGUUUUUAGUGGCGUUUGGACGGAAAACUCCGCAAAUAUUAUACAUUAGUGGUGCUAACGGAAAAACGCCGCAAUAGGUAAAGCAGUAGCAGCGUUUAUGAGAAAAACGCCGCAAAAAGGUCAAGCAGUAGUAGCGUUUAUGAGAAAAACGCCACCAAAGGUUAAGCAGUAGCGGCGUUUAUGAGAAAAACGCUGCAAAAAGUCAAACAAAAAAUCAUUUUAUUUUAAACAAAACGACGCCACUUUGCUCCCUGUAUUCUCACAUUUCAUCCAAGUGCCCAUCAUGUAUUCUUUUCGACAACUCAUGCACUCUUUCAUCCUCUUCUAUUUAUUAUUUAACUAGUUUCUUGAUAUUAAUUAAAAUACAAUUUUUUUAAUUUAAUAUUUAAAAUCUUCAAAAAAAAUUAAUGACACGUAAAAAAAAUUUGAAAGUGAAAACAUAGAAAAAUAUAUGUUAAAAAUGAAAAAAAAUUAAAAUACUUAUUUAAAAUAUUUUUUUAAAAUUUUUUGGUAUAUGACUUGUUUUUUAAUUUAUAUAUUAAUUAAUUUCUUAUAUAAUUUUAAAAGAGAUAAUAUUAAUUUUAAUAUAUUAAAAUUAUCAUUAUAAUUUAAAUUAUUUAAAAGAUAAUAGAUAAACUUUAUAUAUAUUAAAAUUAAAAAAACUUGCUAACCCAUACAUCUCUAGAGAAACAAAAUUAAUUAGUAAAUUGAAAAAGUAAUUUAAAUUUCCUAAAAUAUUGAAAGAAUAUAUAUAUAAUUACAAAAGAGAAAAAAAAAUUUAAAGCUUUUUAGUAUUUUUUUUCAUAUUUUAAAUUUUUUUAGUUUUUAUUUUUAUUUUCUUACAUAAAAAAUUAUAUAAAAAUUUCAAAUGAUAUAAUAAUUCAAUAUAAAAAUUAAAAAAAAGUCAAAUAUUAGCGACUUUUAUGAGAAAAUCAUACUACUUUGCUCUUUUCUUUUUCCCCUAAACUAUAACCCUAAACCCUUAUUUUAUCCCUAAACCCUGAAAUCCCUUAAGGGACGUUUGGUUGGGGGAAUAGGCAUUCAUUCCCCCUAUGCAGCGGGCCUACAACUAAACGGGUGUUUGGUUCGCUGUAAUCACAUUACAGCCCGAAUCGGUUAUUGGCCUAUUACCCCUAUUGCGCGUAAUAGCUAUUACGCCCCCUCUGCGCGGAUUAGGGAUUCCACUUGCUUUUCAUCUUUUCUUUUCCAUUUUUUGCCCUCAUCAAGCUUCCGAGUCUCCCAUGUUUCCCUUCCAGGUAAUUUCUUUUCCCUUCCAUCGGUUCUGCCAUCGGUUCUGAUCGUUCAUUUCUUUUACUUUCUUCAUUUUAUUUCUUCAUGGAUUAUCUCUGUUUAUUUCUCUUUUAUUUCUCUUUUUCCACCCCUUGAUCUACUUGUAUAUUUGAAAAUGAAAUUAAAAAAAGUGGUAAUGUACAGGGAAAGGGAAUAGGGAGUUUUGGUAAAAGAAGGAACAAGACCCACACUCUCUGCGUUAGGUGUGGCCGCCGUAGCUUCCAUUUCCAGAAGAGUCGUUGCUUUGCCUGUGCUUUCCCUGCUGCUCGUAAGAGGACAUGUAAGUGCCUCGUCCGCUUUUUCUUUGUUAUCAAUAUCGUUUAUUGUGUUUUUCGUUUUUGUUGUUAACUUUGUUCCUAAGUCUAAUUUGCAACUAGAUUUCUCAGAUUGACUAGUGGGGUUUCUUUCUUUAUGUGCUUAUAUAUCAAAGCUAAUAUCUUUGACAUGAAUAUCUAUUUAGGUUUCACUUUGAAUGCGUUUAUUCAGAUAAGAAUUCAAUUUCCUGAAUAUGGUGGGAAAAAUGGUGUGAUUAAAAUUUUAAGAUGUUUCUAUAUAAAACUAUGGACUUGUAGUUCGAAUCAAUGUGUUUUCUUCCUGAACCAUAGAUUUGUUAGUUGUAAUGUUACAUGAAAUGUGCUUAUACCAGUAGUAAUACUUCAAGUACUUUGAAUGAACAUGCGUUUUGAUGUGUUUAUAUGAUACGAUUGGAUUGUAAUUUGGUGUUAGUCCUUAAAUCUAAGGGGAAUUGCUUUAUUGUGGGAUUCAGAUAAUUGGAGUGUGAAGGCAAUCAGAAGAAAGACCACUGGAACUGGUAGGAUGAGGCAUCUGCGCCAUGUCCCUCGCAGGUUCAAGACUGGUUUCAGAGAAGGUAAUGAGUUGCUAAUUCUUUUUGCUGACGGGUUUAUAAUUAAACUUCUUUUCAUUCUGUUUUGUUCAAAGCAUAUCUUUGGAGUUUGUUUCUAUUUUCAAUUUCGGUGUUGGAUCAUGAUCUAGGUACUGAAGCAGCACCGAGGAAGAAGGUUGUAGCAGCUUCUGCUUGAGGUAUUACAAGGUUGUUUUGGAUGAAGCCUUCUCUUUUUAGGAAAACUUUUACGAGAACAUUACUCUCAAGGGGUGUCAUUACAUUGAAUGCUUUAGUUGUUUUUAGUUUAUGAUUAUGGAGUUGCAUUAAAUUUUGAACAAGGAUGAAUGCUUUGUCUUGAAAACUGAUGCUGGAAAUGUGGUAUGCAAUUAACCAUUUAGAAAUUAGACCUUUUCCACAUGUAAAUCUUUCCAUAAUAUGCUAUUUGAACAGAUUUGCAAAUUGCGCGAGGGUUUGGGCAUAGCAACCAAUAAUGCUGCUGAAUAUCGUGCCAUAAUUUUAAGGUUGAAACAUGUUGCCUAUUCAAAGUAAUUUUAGCAAACAAGUUGCCUAUUCUAAAGCUUUUCCGUUUACAUUGGUUGUCUUAGGUUACAGACUUGAUGGCUUCUUCGUUCUCUAUGACUUUCAAAUGGUUGCUUUUUACAAAAUGUUGAUUGGAGAGAAAGGUUGGCUCUGCAAUCUAUCAAAAACCUUUUCACUAAGGAGGUAAAUGCAUCUUGUAGAAUAUUUCGUACAAGCUAAUCAUGUUUCUUGCUCUGACAAGUGUUGGAUUUUAACUGUCAAUUAUAUGAUGCCACACUUGAUCAAUUUUAGGUUGUUGAUGUUGUAACUACAAGCACGACUGAUUUGGGGCCACUAAAUCUUGAUUCCUUUAGAAAAGGCAAUUUGUCUGCGUCAUGGAAAGUUGUUGGGGGUAGAGACUUCGGUUCAGGAUAAUGCUAUUUCAAAGGUUUGAAUAAUAAACCAGUCGCUUGUAUUGGCACUUUCCCAUUUUUCUCAAUCCUUUUGUUGGAACUAUUUUUUUUUAUUUUAGUUUCUGAUUGACUGAUAUUUGCUGGAUCCUCACAUGUUCAAAGUCAAACCAAAAGGCUACAGACUUGAAACAAGAAACAUCUCAGGAUAAAGAGGAAAAGUUUCUAGAUGGUAAUUUAUUUAUCUGUUAGAUGUAUGCAUAAUGCUCUUUGUAAAAUUUCACUCAUGCUGCUUGUUCCAUGCAGAUGAUCAUUCACAUGAUACACCUGCUAAAAUACUUCGAAGGGUAAUUACCUUCUUUUGAUGCACCGUUUGCUUUAGUGUUGUCGAAACCAUUUUUUUGAUUCAAAAAAAUGGUUUCGACAAGUGUCAUAUAGAAUUUUAUAAUAAAUGGGCAUUUUAUUUACCUUGCAGCAACUUAGAGAUAAUAGACGUGAGAAGCGGGCCACUGAAUUGGUGAAACAAGAUGAGAAAGUUACCGUGAAACUUGAAAAUGCUGCCAUUGAACAAUCCAAAGCUGUAGACUCUGCUGUUUUGGGCAAAUACAAUCUAUUUUGUACUUUAUAUAAUUGCUUUUUGAUUUGUUGUCUUGCAUGAAGUGAUCUACUACACCUUCAAUGGAGAGAAUAUUUGCUUUUUGAUUAAAUUGUAAAGUUUGGAUAUUGACUAAUUUUAAUUUAUCAAAUUAUAUCAUAGCCUGCUUUCCUUUUUCGUUUUAAAAGAAGCACAGUUUACUAAGUUGAACUUAUGAAUUUAAUAAAAUAAGUUUGUUUUAUUUUAUUAUUAAAACAUGUUAUUUUUAUAAGAUUUAAGCUUAAAUUUAAUCAAAAUGAUAAUAGAAGAAUGAUAUAAGAUUGAUAUAAAAUUAAUAUUCCAAAAAGAAUAUAGGAGAUAAAAUGUUAAGUUAGUUGAAAUAUAAAAUUAAAAUAACUUUACUCGGAUGUAAAUGAAAAACUCUCAUUACAUAAAUAUAUAUAUUGAUGUAUUUUAUGGCUAAAAAAAAUCUGUACCUUGAUUAGUCAAACAAUUAAUUCGUUUCAUAUCUUGUAUCUCCAAAUAACGUGGGGGGAAUUAUAUAUUUUUAUUAAAUUAUAUUUAAUAAUAAUUAUUUUAAAUUAUAUUUUAUAGUAUUAUAUAUUAUGAUUUUAGUAAAUUCAUAUAAGAAUAUUUAAUAUUAAGAAUUUUAUUAAAUUAUAUAUUUUUGUUAAAUUAUAUUUAAUAAUAAUUAUUUUAAAUUAUAUUUUAUAGUAUUAUAUAUUAUGAUUUUAGUAAAUUCAUAUAUUUUAUUAAAUUAUAUAUUUUUAUUAAAUAAUAAUUAUUUUAAAAUAUAAUUAAAUUAUUUAUUAUUUAUAUUAAUAAUCUUAUUAAAAUUUAAUAACAAUAACAAUAAUCAUCUACCUAAAAAAAUUUUGCUAAGGGUAUUCUAGUCAUUUAAAUUUUUUUCCUUAUACUAUUACACCUCUAUUCCAUUCAACCAAAUAAAAGAGUUACCUAUUACGCCUCUAUUUCAUUACACAUCUAUUCUAUUAAGUCUCUAUUCCAUUACAGCGAACCAAACUUGUUAUUAAUUUUCCCCUAAAAAUUAGAAUCCCCAAAUCCCUAAUUCCCCAAAUCUUCAUCCCCAAAUCGUCUCCCUUCCCCUUUCUUUUUCCUUCUCCCUGCUAUUCUGCUUCUUUGUUCCCUCUGUUUUCUUCUGAAUUCUCGGCUUCUCCUUCUGUCCGCCUUUCUCUUUUCUGCUUUUCUUCUGGCUUUAUAUUUCGAUCCAUAAUAGUCGAUUCUGUCAUAUGAUCGUCGCACCAUUCUGGGUGUAGCUUCCUCAUGGCCAGCCACGCCUUUUAAAUAUUGAGAUCGUCAGUUUGAAGCCUAGAAAUUAAAGAGCUAAAGGUCAUGUCCCUUUUCUUGAUUGAAAGUUUGGGUUUAUUAAGUUUUGAGUUCUCUCACUUUUUUUUUAUCUCUCCAGUUUCGAACUACAGAUAGAGUUUCUUUUUCUUUUUUUGAUUCGAUCUUUUCCCUCUCUUUCUCUCUUGUUUUGAUUCAAAUGGGAUUUCUUAAAUCUGAUAUGUUUUGUGUUGUAUUUUUUAAAUUUAAUAUAUUUUGGAGUUGUUAAAUAUGAUUUUUGUUUAUUUAUUUUGGAUUUCCAAAGGAAAGAAGGUGUGAGUAUUUAUAUUUAAUUAAUUUAGUAGUAAUGUUGUAUUUUACUUCUUCAAUAAUCUUUUCCUAAAUCUGAAAUUUGAGUUCACUGGCUGAAGCUAUGUGUUCCCUACUGUAUGCUAUCGGUGUCUAUAUUUUAAGAAAAUUUGGGAUUUUUUUAAGUUGAAACUUUCAAUUUAGAGUUCUUUAUAUGUUCAAAUUUUCAUAGAAAUUUCUUUUACAGGCUUAUAAUCUGUCUAAAGAUCACAAACCAGAGCCUGAGUUGGAGAAAGAUAGGAUUUUGAAAGCUGGUGGUUUUAUUCAAGUGGGACGUAUCAAUGGAAGUUUAAACAUGGCCAGGGCUAUUGGUACCUUCUGGAGAUUUGGGUGUGCGGAGCUCAAACAAAAUAAAACUCUGCCAGCUGAAAAGCAGAUUGUAACAGCUAAUCCAGACAUAAACGCUGUAAGUGAGUAGCUGUUUGCUCUAAUAUUUGUGUAACUCUUCCAACUCAUUUUAUAACUUUUGAUAAUGACCAAUUGAUUUAAUAAAGGAACUAUCUUAUCAGAAUUUUAAAAAAUAAGCAAUCCUGAAUUUCAUAAUAUCAUCUAAAUAUAUACACUGUUAAUACCUCAAAAUUUAGACAUAUUGGUUUGUUUGGAAGAAAAUAGGUUUGCAUGAAAUCCAUACCAAAAUAACAUGAAUAUAGAAUAGAAUUAAAGAGAUUAUCUUGAUAGCUUUAUAUAAAGCUGAUGAAGCUCUUCAUUAAGAGGCUUAUGAAUGCUACAGCUGAGAACAAGGGGCAUGCUAAUAAACAAUCAAAUUCAGUACAAGAAUUGCAUGAACCAACUAAAACCAAACCUUUUUUGCAUUGCAUUGCAUCAAUUAACUAAUUUCAAACCUUGCAAUUCACACAAGUGUUUCAAAAUCCAUUUUGAGAGAUAAGUUUACUUUAUCUCCGCUUUGCAAGAAAAUGACUAGGUCAUCCGCAAAAAAAUAGAUGAGAUAAAAUCGGACCCAAUCUUGAGAGACGAUUUAGAUUCCACUUACUAGUAGCAAUUUCCGCACGAAUAAUAUAUCCUAACCAUUCCAUACAAAGAACACAAAGAUAGGGUGAUAGUGGAUAACCAUGUCUGAUCCCUCUAACUGGCUUAAACUUCUGAGUGGGAAGACUAUUCCAUAGGAUCUGCAUAGAAGAAGAAGAUAUGGCUGCCAUUAUUAUAGUUCUGAGGAACUCGGGAAUCCCGACAGCUAGCUGAGACACACCAAUGGUUGGGGGGGAGUUUGUGAGCCACCCCACCACCCUGUUGAAACAUUUCCAUGUGCAUUCUUUUUGAGUUUUCUUGCCACUCAAAGUGUGAUGAGCAAUAAUAGAUAGUUCAACUUUGAAUUUUCCUAUUACCUCACGAUAUCUGUUACAUGUGCAAGUCGAAUUAAUCCACUAGCUCCAUGUACUAUUUUUAAUAAAGAAAGUGAGCAACUAGUUAUAAGUUAAUCAUGAUAAAGAUGGUGGUGCGUUUGGAUCAUAAUUUGCAAGCCUGUUUUUCACUUGUACUUUCUAAUUUGGACUCUGUAUGUAUGUAGAAAAAACAAACAUGGGUAAGAAAACACUUAUCUUCAGUGCUGUCUUUUCUAUGCUUUUACAACAUAUAAUUGCAUAUGUUGAAAUUCCAAACUCAAACUUGUUGGAUACUCAUCUUCAAAAAAAAAAAAAGAAAAAGAAAAACCAAGACACGGUUACGAUUGAGGCCGAUGAUUAAGCGAUUUCAACACCUCUUGCUAGCAAUACAAAGGCAACAAGUGGAGUUGGAGCAUAUUUGGACUGUUACUAAGGCAUCAAUGAUAAAUAUUACUUGCCACAAAUAAUAAAAUCAACACGAUAUGAAUGAUUUAAUAUUUUAGAGUUUAUAUAAAAAUACUUAGGUACAUGAAUUCUUAAACGAAAUAAACUUUGGUUUUGUUUGAAAUAAGAUGAAAUGUUUAAAAGUAAACUGUCUUAAAAUUUCAUCAUAUUUCUCGAACAAUUGUUCUUUUUAAUUUAUCAAACAAUAUCUAACUUUUUCAAAUAAUUUAAUUUUACUCUCAGAUGCCUCAUGUUUUGGUGCAUUUUCUUUCCGGGAAAAAAACUAAACAAUUGGAACUAUUUUUACACAAGAGUAAAAAUAAAAUCCCACCUUUUUUUAAUCUACAAGUUUCACAUUUAUAUUUAGGGAAUAAAUUAUAUUAGGAUCAUCCUAAAAAGUAUAGUUUUUAAGCACUAAUAAAAUAAUGUCAUGUCAUUAAAUUUUAAAGAUAACAAAAUAUUAUUAUACACUCAUCUGUAUCUAAUGUCUUCUCCAACUUAAUUUAACUUUAAUUAAAUUACUUAAAAUAAUUAAUUUUUUAAAUUAUAAACAAAUCUUUUCUUCUUUUACAAUUUUUAAUCAUUUUAGUUUUUUUCCAUAAGUUAAUAUUUUUUAUUUUUGUGCAACCAAUUUAAAAUAAUAUUAUUUUUUGUGCAAUUUUUUUCAUGUCAUUGACACAUAAUUUUGGUAAUUAUUUUUACCUUGAACCCAGAACGUCGAACCUUGAACCUUAAACAUUGGACCCCGAGGUUUAGGGUUUAGGGUUGAGAUUUACGGAUUAAGGUUUAAGAUUUAGGACUUAGGAUUCAUAGAUUAGGAGUUUAGGGUUCAAGUUCAAGGUUCAAGGGUUUUGGGUUAUGGGUUCGGGAGUUAGGUUUAGGGUUUUAUAUUUUUUAUUUAGGGUUCGGGAUUAUCAAAAUCAUGUGUCAAUAACAUGAAAAAAAUUGUUUAAAUUUAAUUAAAUAAUUGGAAAUGGACUAUGAAUAAUGUGGUGGGAAUGAUCCAUAAAAUAAUUUCUCUAUAGAUGGAUGUAUAAUAAUAAUUCACGUCUUUAAAAUUUGAUGAUGUGGAAAAAUUUUAUUGGUGCCUAAAAAUUUUAGUUUUUAGGAUCAUCUUUAUGUAAGUUAUUCCCUUAUAUUUAUUGUAAGUUAUUUAAUGAUUUAAAUAUACACAUCUGUAUAUAUAUUUAUCUUUAAAUAUAAUACUUACUUUUACUCAUAACUCUCAAUUCUCAAAUUGAAGGAGCACACGUUUAAAUAUACUUAAAUUCACAUCCUCUUUAUCGAUAUUGGUAAAAUCAAGAAGAUAGAUAGAGACAUUGCCCCUUAGUUAAACGAGAACUUUUUUAUUUAACUCCUCUCAAAAUAUAGAAAAAGUAAUAGUGUAAUUUUAAGAUUUUAACACAAAAAUUAUAACUUUUAACCCUUCCAAAAUGGUAUAAUUUUAUCUGUCCUCUUAAAUAAAAUUUCUAAAUUCAUUUUUGCAAUAAUAAAAAAAAUAUUAACAAAAAUAAUUGGAGAACAAGCCAUCAUCCAUUUCAGGAAUUUGCAGAUAACUUCUAAAAACAUUUGAGUCAAUUGCUUCUCUGCAUCUGUCUACUUUCUCAGGUUUUCAAACUUGUCCUUCUCUGCUCUCCUCCACCUUUCAUUUCACUAUAAUUUAUAAUUUUUACAAUCAUUUUCAAUGAAAUUCAUUUCUUCUUUAAUGAAAUUGCGCUGACAAACUCAGAGGCGCCGCUUUUUGACUUUGUACACCGGCACACUGCUCAUGGAUCCUCAGAAAUAAGAGGAAAGCCAUCAAUGCUUUUAAAGGGUUACAGUUUCAAGUUUCUAACACUCGAUAAGCACUGCCCAUCUUCAUGAUUUUUAAGAGAGACCUAUGCGAAAGAAAGGUGGAGUGGAAAUGAAUGGUUUGACAGUGACCUGUUUUCCCUUCACCAUCCGUCUGCAAACACACAUACAAAAAAAAGGUUUGGCAUUAAACUGGGGAUUCCUUAUCCCGUUUUUUACUUAAAUUAAUAACUAAAAUGGCAUGCCCAUUAGAUUAUUUGUUAAAAUGGUAUAGUUUUACUAGUGCUGCCUGUUAAAUUGGUGGCACCGGACUGAAAUGUAAUAAUCAAAAGUAUUUAGGAACCUGAUAUGCAAUAUUUUCAUUUUCAGUAGCUGCUGAAAAGAAAAAGGUAAAAGGGGGCUCAGUGCUGCCCGUUGGGGCACCAUUUAUCAAACCUUAAAUGUGACUAAUUGCCUUGUAAGUCCUCCUUAUUUAUCAUUUUUUUAUUCUCCUCCAACUCACUAUAUUGUGUUUAAAUAAUCCCUUAACCUAUUCUGUUUAAAUAUAUUUUACCUAAAGUAAAGCUAUUUAAAAAAAUAUAAACCAAUUCGCAUUUUAUGUUGAUGUGAACUUGAUGAGAAUAGUUUAUUAAAUAAAAAUAAAUAAAAUUUUAAAAUUUCUUGAGAGUGCUUAUAUACAUGAUAUUUUUAACUACUCUUUUGAAAUUUUUGAUUACUUUUUUAGAUUUUAUGUUGAUGUUAAAGUGUAUAUAAUUUUUUUUAGCAGCCACUCAAAAUGGAAAAUUUGCAUAUCAAGUCUCUGAAUACUUUAAAUCAUUACAUUUCAGUCCAAUACCGCCAAUUUGACAGGCGACACCAGGAAAAUCAUAUCAUUUUAGUAAAUAAUCUAUUAGACAUGUUAUUUCAAUUAUAUUAUUUAAAUAAAAAGCCGGAUUAUCCUAAAUGUUAGACACAAAACAUGAGCUUGGCAAAUUAGCAUCCACCCUUGUACAACUUAUCAGAGGUCCCUUGGACUUUCACAUGCUCCCAAAUAUCUUUAUCACCCAUCUUAUCGAUUUGGAAACUCAAUCCCACAAACUCAACAUAUUUUUACUUUAAUUUUAAAUGCUUUUAAGGUUUAAUAUAUCAUUUACUACUUUUAAGUUUGACAUCUUUUUUUAAUAUCGUAUUUGUGUCAUUUUUUUAGUUUAAUAUGACAUUUGUAUUUGAUAAAUGUUAUAUAUUUUGGUAUCCAAAGGUAUCUGUGUUAAUGUUUUAGUGUUUAGUUCAGAUUUUAAGGUUGACUUUGAUGAAAAUUAAUUGCCAACAUUAUUAGGUUUCAAUUUUUCUAUCAUUUUUAUUAAUAGAAUAAAUUUAGUGUUAAUUGUAAAUUAGUUUAAUUUUACAUUUAGUUUGUCAAAUAAUAGUCCGGUCAAUGUGAUUCAAUUCGGGUUUUAGGCUUGAUUCGAUAAAAGUUAAUUGCUAAUAUUGUUAGCUAAUAAUGAAUUUUUAUCAAAUCAACUCUAGAACUUGAAUUAACUACUAAAAAAAUUAACAUUGUUACUUUCAGAUAUCAAAAUGUAUAAAUUUUAUUAAAUACAAGUACCACAUUUAAAAAAAUAGUAAGUUAAGUCACUUAUAGGCGCUAAUCUUAAAUUUAAUUUCAAGUGGGAGUACAUGUGGAAUUGAAUGUAUAACCCAAUCUAGGGCAAUGUGAUUAAAGAGAUUUUUAAUAGGGAUAAAUUUUAAAAUUAUCCAUAAAAUUUGAUUUAAUGUGGUACAAUUAUAAUCGUGAAAUUCUAAUUAUGGUUCAAAUAUAUACUUGAAACUUUAAUUUUGGUUUAAUCAUACACAUUUAAAAAAAUACAUCAAUUUAUUUUUAUAUUGGAUAAAUAUAAUUAAUAAAAUAAUGUUAUAACAAUAAUUGUGUUAUCAUGAAAAAAUUUGCACAAAAUCAAAAUUCAUAUAUAGUUUUGAAAUUUAUCCCGACAAACUAAUUACAAAUGUAUAAUUUUUAAUAUGAAAGGUUAUAAGGAUAUAAAACCAUAAAUUUCCCUCUUAUUUAUGUAUACAAAUUAAGAAAAAGAGGUUGAAAGGUUUUGGUCUUCUCCACGCCUAGCUAGCUAUUUCUUUUUAUUUUAUUAUAAAUUCAAAUGUUGACUUUCAUAAAUAAAUAAAAUGAGGUCCCACCUGAUGUGGCGUAGAACUAGGACGGGUCUAACAGUAAAUAUAUUAUUAUAAGGAUAUUUUUUAUUUUAUUAUUUUUGUAUUGUUAUAUUUUAACUAAAGCCUCGCUCCUUUCUUUUUUUUAUGCAAUGAAUUUAUAAAUAUUUUUAUUAUAAUAAUUUAGUAAUUAAAGAAAAAUGAUGUAAAUUUUUUGAUAAAAUGAUAAUUUGAACCUAUACUAAUCUUAAAAAAAGUGAUCACCCGGCUAAUAAAUCACAACUCGAGUUUCAUAAAAAAAAGAUAUUCGUCAUUCACCUUCUAAUUUGUUUAUUAAUAGUAACAUGUGGACCUAAGCGUAAUCAGAAAAGUUAUUAAAAAUACAAUAUUAUUAUACAAAGAAGAAUGAAGGUUGAGAUAAAUAAAAAGAAGAAACUUAAAUUGGGUUUUAACUUGAUGCAUGAUAAUGGAAAUGUACCAAGUUUCUAACUGUAUAAGGCAGCAGAUUUUUUUAUUUGGCUUAUACAAAUUGACGUUCUUCUAAUUUUCAUUGGGCGGAGACUUUUAGUUAAUGAGGACAUAGAAAGUCACAUCAUGCCUCUUGGGAUGCCCCAACUCGCCCUAACAAACACGUUUCAAAAUUCCUGGUAUUUGGUUAGUGCAUACGAAGCUAACAUGGCAAUUACAAAUAGAAAAGCUUGUGAUUCUAUAAACAUACAUAAAAACUUCUUGCUUUCAUAUACUCUUUUAACUUUUUUAUCAGUACUAUGUUUUUGUGUAAAAGCAACCAAACCCCCCCCCCCCCCCCGAAUUUAAGCCCAAAUAGCCAAGAGAGACAUAAGACCAGCCCCGAGGAGAAGAGAAACACUGGCUCCGACUUGAAGUAUUCCAUUGUUUUGUAACUUCGGGUUCAUGAAAUCAGCGGCUAGAAGAUCCACCAACGCCAUGUAUAUUAAGAUCCCAGAUGAUGCCGCGUUCAAUAAUCCUUCCACAAUCAGUGCCGUUGGGCUGUUCUCAUCGUAUGCAUUUGUUAUUGCUAUUCCUAUAGCGAUUCCUACUGGUGUUGUCAGCGAGAAAAACAGUGACAUGAUUGCAACCGAUCGACCCUUGAAUUUAGCCUUUAAAAAACCAUUCAAUGCUAAUGAAUACAACAAAACUCCUGACAAAGAGUAACUCUUAAGCAUGGGUUUGAAUUUACCUGAGAAAUGCAUCCACCAAGUCCCAUGCCUUCGAAGAACUGAUGAAAGGUGAGUGCUGCCACCAAAGGUUUUAUAGUCUUUGGACUUUCUGAAGCACCCAAUGAUAUCCCUAUGAUCACAGAGUGCACCACUAUGCCCAAUUCCAAUACCUUUGAACAUCAAUCAGACAAACAGCUACAGAAAAUAUAGAAAAUAUAACAAAAACCACAAUCACGAUUGAUGAAAUAAAAUUUACCUGAGAUACUACUCGAUGCCGAAGGAGCUGAGCUGAAUCUGCAGGCUCAAGCAUAGAAACAGAACCAUGAGAAUGGCCAUGGGUGGCAUGAGUAUGAACAUGCAGAUGAUUUUCGGUUUGCUCUGUUUUCUCUUCAUCACCCUCGUGGGACUGUUGGGUUUUGUGAAGGUGAGAUUUGGUGUAAUGAGAUGUAGCAAACACAUCAACCAUCAAUGUGCCAAUGGCCGCCGUCAUAGCCAACAGUCCGGCGAACGGAAACUCUGUCCAAGGUUUCUCAUUGAGGCAAGGAGAUGUUAAGCUUUCAGUGGCAUCCGG
rnacentral:lncRNA from 1 species